rnacentral:rRNA from 1 species
CCUACGGGAGGCAGCAGUAGGGAAUCUUCCACAAUGGGCGAAAGCCUGAUGGAGCAACGCCGCGUGGGUGAAGAAGGUCUUCGGAUCGUAAAACCCUGUUGUUAGAGAAGAAAGUGCGUGAGAGUAACUGUUCACGUUUCGACGGUAUCUAACCAGAAAGCCACGGCUAACUACGUGCCAGCAGCCGCGGUAAUACGUAGGUGGCAAGCGUUAUCCGGUUUUAUUGGGCGUAAAGGGAACGCAGGCGGUCUUUUAAGUCUGAUGUGAAAGCCUUCGGCUUAACCGGAGUAGUGCAUUGGAAACUGGGGGGCUGGAGUGCGGAAGAGGCGGGUGGAACUCGAUGUGUAGCGGUGAAAUGCUUAGAUAUAUGGAAGAACACCAGUGGCGAAGGCGGCUCUCUGGUCUGUAACUGACGCUGAGGUUCGAAAGCGUGGGUAGCGAACAGGAUUAGAUACCCCAGUAGUC